GGGAAUUUCCAAGAUGCACUCGAGGAUCUAUACCACUUAGAGGAAAUAACAGAUAAAAAUCCCAGUGUUUUACAAAAACUUGGUUUUGACCAUGACACGUUGAGAGCAAGAGCACAACUCCUCAAAGGAGAAGUCGAGCAUGAUAAUAAUCACUUAAGAAAAGUGUUAAGUUGCUACACUAAAGGGAUUGAAUUAAAGUGCAAA